rnacentral:rRNA from 1 species
CCUACGGGCGGCAGCAGUAGGGAAUAUUGGACAAUGGGCGAAAGCCUGAUCCAGCCAUGCCGCGUGUGUGAAGAAGGCCUUCGGGUUGUAAAGCACUUUCAGUGGGGAAGAAAGCCUUGGGGCUAAUACCCUCGAGGAAGGACAUCACCCACAGAAGAAGCACCGGCUAACUCCGUGCCAGCAGCCGCGGUAAUACGGAGGGUGCGAGCGUUAAUCGGAAUUACUGGGCGUAAAGCGCGCGUAGGCGGUCUGAUAAGCCGGUUGUGAAAGCCCCGGGCUCAACCUGGGAACGGCAUCCGGAACUGUCAGGCUAGAGUGCAGGAGAGGAAGGUAGAAUUCCCGGUGUAGCGGUGAAAUGCGUAGAGAUCGGGAGGAAUACCAGUGGCGAAGGCGGCCUUCUGGACUGACACUGACGCUGAGGUGCGAAAGCGUGGGUAGCAAACAGGAUUAGAUACCCGAGUAGUC